rnacentral:rRNA from 1 species
UUGAAGAGUUUGAUCAUGGCUCAGAUUGAACGCUGGCGGCAGGCCUAACACAUGCAAGUCGAGCGGUAGCACAGAGAGCUUGCUCUCGGGUGACGAGCGGCGGACGGGUGAGUAAUGUCUGGGAAACUGCCUGAUGGAGGGGGAUAACUACUGGAAACGGUAGCUAAUACCGCAUAAUGUCGCAAGACCAAAGUGGGGGACCUUCGGGCCUCAUGCCAUCAGAUGUGCCCAGAUGGGAUUAGCUAGUAGGUGGGGUAACGGCUCACCUAGGCGACGAUCCCUAGCUGGUCUGAGAGGAUGACCAGCCACACUGGAACUGAGACACGGUCCAGACUCCUACGGGAGGCAGCAGUGGGGAAUAUUGCACAAUGGGCGCAAGCCUGAUGCAGCCAUGCCGCGUGUGUGAAGAAGGCCUUCGGGUUGUAAAGCACUUUCAGCGGGGAGGAAGGCGAUAAGGUUAAUAACCUUGUCGAUUGACGUUACCCGCAGAAGAAGCACCGGCUAACUCCGUGCCAGCAGCCGCGGUAAUACGGAGGGUGCAAGCGUUAAUCGGAAUUACUGGGCGUAAAGCGCACGCAGGCGGUCUGUCAAGUCGGAUGUGAAAUCCCCGGCUCAACCUGGGAACUGCAUUCGAAACUGGCAGGCUAGAGUCUUGUAGAGGGGGGUAGAAUUCCAGGUGUAGCGGUGAAAUGCGUAGAGAUCUGGAGGAAUACCGGUGGCGAAGGCGGCCCCCUGGACAAAGACUGACGCUCAGGUGCGAAAGCGUGGGGAGCAAACAGGAUUAGAUACCCUGGUAGUCCACGCCGUAAACGAUGUCGAUUUGGAGGUUGUGCCCUUGAGGCGUGGCUUCCGGAGCUAACGCGUUAAAUCGACCGCCCGGGAGUACGGCCGCAAGGUUAAAACUCAAAUGAAUUGACGGGGCCCGCACAAGCGGUGGAGCAUGUGGUUUAAUUCGAUGCAACGCGAAGAACCUUACCUGGUCUUGACAUCCACAGAACUUUCCAGAGAUGGAUUGGUGCCUUCGGGAACUGUGAGACAGGUGCUGCAUGGCUGUCGUCAGCUCGUGUUGUGAAAUGUUGGGUUAAGUCCCGCAACGAGCGCAACCCUUAUCCUUUGUUGCCAGCGGUUAGGCCGGGAACUCAAAGGAGACUGCCAGUGAUAAACUGGAGGAAGGUGGGGAUGACGUCAAGUCAUCAUGGCCCUUACGACCAGGGCUACACACGUGCUACAAUGGCAUAUACAAAGAGAAGCGACCUCGCGAGAGCAAGCGGACCUCAUAAAGUAUGUCGUAGUCCGGAUUGGAGUCUGCAACUCGACUCCAUGAAGUCGGAAUCGCUAGUAAUCGUAGAUCAGAAUGCUACGGUGAAUACGUUCCCGGGCCUUGUACACACCGCCCGUCACACCAUGGGAGUGGGUUGCAAAAGAAGUAGGUAGCUUAACCUUCGGGAGGGCGCUUACCACUUUGUGAUUCAUGACUGGGGUGAAGUCGUAACAAGGUAACCGUAGGGGAACCUGCGGUUGGAUCACCUCCUU